UACGUAGGGCGCAAGCGUUCUCCGGAAUUAUUGGGCGUAAAGAGCUCGUAGGCGGUUUGUCGCGUCUGCUGUGAAAGACCGGGGCUCAACUCCGGUUCUGCAGUGGGUACGGGCAGACUAGAGUGAUGUAGGGGAGACUGGAAUUCCUGGUGUAGCGGUGAAAUGCGCAGAUAUCAGGAGGAACACCGAUGGCGAAGGCAGGUCUCUGGGCAUUAACUGACGCUGAGGAGCGAAAGCAUGGGGAGCGAACAGG
rnacentral:rRNA from 1 species